rnacentral:rRNA from 1 species
CCGGAGAACUGAAACAUCUUAGUACCCGGAGGAAGAGAAAGAAAAUUCGAUUCCCUUAGUAGCGGCGAGCGAAACGGGAAGAGCCCAAACCAACAAGCUUGCUUGUUGGGGUUGUAGGACACUCUAUACGGAGUUACAAAGGACGACAUUAGACGAAUCAUCUGGAAAGAUGAAUCAAAGAAGGUAAUAAUCCUGUAGUCGAAAAUGUUGUCUCUCUUGAGUGGAUCCUGAGUACGACGGAGCACGUGAAAUUCCGUCGGAAUCUGGGAGGACCAUCUCCUAAGGCUAAAUACUCUCUAGUGACCGAUAGUGAACCAGUACCGUGAGGGAAAGGUGAAAAGCACCCCGGAAGGGGAGUGAAAUAGAACCUGAAACCGUGUGCUUACAAGUAGUCAGAGCCCGUUAAUGGGUGAUGGCGUGCCUUUUGUAGAAUGAACCGGCGAGUUACGAUUUGAUGCAAGGUUAAGCAGUAAAUGUGGAGCCGUAGCGAAAGCGAGUCUGAAUAGGGCGUUUAGUAUUUGGUCGUAGACCCGAAACCAGGUGAUCUACCCUUGGUCAGGUUGAAGUUCAGGUAACACUGAAUGGAGGACCGAACCGACUUACGUUGAAAAGUGAGCGGAUGAACUGAGGGUAGCGGAGAAAUUCCAAUCGAACCUGGAGAUAGCUGGUUCUCUCCGAAAUAGCUUUAGGGCUAGCCUCAAGUGAUGAUUAUUGGAGGUAGAGCACUGUUUGGACGAGGGGCCCCUCUCGGGUUACCGAAUUCAGACAAACUCCGAAUGCCAAUUAAUUUAACUUGGGAGUCAGAACAUGGGUGAUAAGGUCCGUGUUCGAAAGGGAAACAGCCCAGACCACCAGCUAAGGUCCCAAAAUAUAUGUUAAGUGGAAAAGGAUGUGGCGUUGCCCAGACAACUAGGAUGUUGGCUUAGAAGCAGCCAUCAUUUAAAGAGUGCGUAAUAGCUCACUAGUCGAGUGACACUGCGCCGAAAAUGUACCGGGGCUAAACAUAUUACCGAAGCUGUGGAUUGUCCUUUGGACAAUGGUAGGAGAGCGUU